CUGGUGGCUGUUUUGCUAUGCAGUGGAUGCUUAUCUGGUGAUCCGGAGAUCGGCAGGACUGAGCACCAUCCUGCUGUAUCACAUCAUGGCGUGGGGCCUGGCCACCCUGCUCUGUGUGGAGGGAGCCGCCAUGCUCUACUACCCUUCCGUGUCCAGAGGGAGAUGUGGCCGCUGGAACUGUCUCAAGCAUUUCCUCAAGUUUACAUUCCUGUCCAUGCAACCCUCAGUUGCAAAGCCAAGGUCUUUCCAAGGAUAUAUACUCUAACUUCCAAUGGAAAACUGGAAAAUGGAAGUGGACAGUGUCUUUGUCUGUGAUUUUUAUACCAGGGAUCAACACAGUGUAGCCCUCAGGACAAAUCCGGCGUUCUUCCGUUUUUGUAAAUAAAGUUUUAUUGGA
rnacentral:lncRNA from 10 species